UACGAAGGGGGCUAGCGUUGUUCGGAAUUACUGGGCGUAAAGCGCACGUAGGCGGAUCGAUCAGUCAGGGGUGAAAUCCCAGGGCUCAACCCUGGAACUGCCUUUGAUACUGUCGAUCUGGAGUAUGGAAGAGGUGAGUGGAAUUCCGAGUGUAGAGGUGAAAUUCGUAGAUAUUCGGAGGAACACCAGUGGCGAAGGCGAGUCCCUGGACAACUUCUGACGCUGAGGCACGAAAGCUAGGGGAGCAAACAGG
rnacentral:rRNA from 1 species